GCCCUGUGUGAGUUGGGAGAAGCUGAGCCCAGGAGCCGGAAGCAGGCUGUUGUCCCUAACUCUGAAGCAUUUUGCAGCAGGGUUUUCUUUAAAUCUAUACACUUAACUGCAUGGUUGGAUAAUCAGGCAGCUGACUGGCUAGCAGUGAUUUCAGCAGAGGAAGAGUCUGCCUGGCUUCCAACUGAAGAGGCCUACAAGCAAGUGGAGGGAAGAUGUUGUUUUAGACUCAGCUGACUGGAUAGCUCUAACUGAGACUUAGGUGAACAAAACCUAAGCUUUUGGGAACUUUCCAUUUUUUCUCACUGUGUUUCUGUGGGGACGGAACUGUACAUAUUUUAAUUUGUUUUAUUUAUGUUUAUGUAUAACUGUGAAGGCAAUCUCUGUGGAUUAUAAAAUAGCCAUGUUACGCUGUAAAAUUAGAUUAUUAUUUGUUUCUUUAUCAUAAGAUUUUAUAAAGUUAUUUAAUUAAAUUCAA